GCAAGUCGAACGCUUCUUUUUCCACCGGAGCUUGCUCCACCGGAAAAAGAAGAGUGGCGAACGGGUGAGUAACACGUGGGUAACCUGCCCAUCAGAAGGGGAUAACACUUGGAAACAGGUGCUAAUACCGUAUAACAAUCGAAACCGCAUGGUUUUGAUUUGAAAGGCGCUUUCGGGUGUCGCUGAUGGAUGGACCCGCGGUGCAUUAGCUAGUUGGUGAGGUAACGGCUCACCAAGGCCACGAUGCAUAGCCGACCUGAGAGGGUGAUCGGCCACAUUGGGACUGAGACACGGCCCAAACUCCUACGGGAGGCAGCAGUAGGGAAUCUUCGGCAAUGGACGAAAGUCUGACCGAGCAACGCCGCGUGAGUGAAGAAGGUUUUCGGACCGUAAAACUCUGUUGUUAGAGAAGAACAAGGAUGAGAGUAACUGUUCACCCCUUGACGGUAUCUAACCAGAAAGCCACGGCUAACUACGUGCCAGCAGCCGCGGUAAUACGUAGGUGGCAAGCGUUGUCCGGAUUUAUUGGGCGUAAAGCGAGCGCAGGCGGUUUCUUAAGUCUGAUGUGAAAGCCCCCGGCUCAACCGGGGAGGGUCAUUGGAAACUGGGAGACUUGAGUGCAGAAGAGGAGAGUGGAAUUCCAUGUGUAGCGGUGAAAUGCGUAGAUAUAUGGAGGAACACCAGUGGCGAAGGCGGCUCUCUGGUCUGUAACUGACGCUGAGGCUCGAAAGCGUGGGGAGCAAACAGG
rnacentral:rRNA from 1 species